UUGAAUGACGAAGAAAAUAUUCGCCGAGAGCAAGAAGAAGCAGAGGAACCAGAGUAUCAAAACUCGUUUUGGCAUUCGAAAUUCCAGAGUGUGUGUGUGUUUUUGUAUUUUUGGCAACACUUCUACGCCGCUCGCUUGUUGUUGUUAUUCCACUGGCAAAGUGAAAAUUUAUGCCGCACCCCGCUCGAAAAAAAAACAGAAAUAAAAGUUGGAGUCCGUGAUUUCACACAACACACCAAAAUUCCAAUCCAUUUCAAAGCCGCGCCAACAAAUAAACAAAAGCCAAUAUGUAAUUGAAUUUUUUCCGCCGUUUCUUUUGCUCAACAAUUUUCGUCGAACACAUUUUUAUGGCUUUUCUUUCAACACACUUCGUUGUUUAUCAGUCGAACGAGUGAGAGAUAGAGAAUUGGUUACAAUAGCGAGUUAAUCCGAGUGAAAGGAAGCCAUGAUUGCCAACUGCGCACAUUUUCAUUCCCGAUCCGCCCAAGAUUAUCGAUUUUCCAACCCUACACAAAAACGCAUUUAGAGUACCGGAGGGAAACGAAAACUGAGCUUUUAAUACCUCUGGACAACUGAUGUUCUUA